rnacentral:tRNA from 1 species
UUUCUAUUAGUUAUAAUUAUAAUAUUUAUUUUCCAAAUAAAAGUUCCUAUCUAUUGGGUUAGAUAGGAGC